CGCUGCCGCAUGGCAGAGGGUGGAAAGAUUUAUCGGUGCAGGAUGGGCCCGCGUCGGAUUAACUAGUUGGCAGGGUAACGGCCUACCAAGGUGAUGAUCCGUAGCCGACCUGAGAGGGUGACCGGCCACAUUGGGACUGAGACACGGCCCAAACUCCUACGGGAGGCAGCAGUGGGGGAUAUUGCACAAUGGGCGCAAGCCUGAUGCAGCGACGCCGCGUGAAGGAAGAAGUAUUUCGGUAUGUAAACUUCUAUCAGCGGGGAAGAAGAUGACGGUACCCGACUAAGAAGCCCCGGCUAACUACGUGCCAGCAGCCGCGGUAAUACGUAGGGGGCAAGCGUUAUCCGGAUUUACUGGGUGUAAAGGGAGCGUAGACGGCAGGGCAAGUCCGAUGUGAAAACCCGGGGCUCAACCGCGGGAUUGCAUUGGAAACUGCUCAGCUCGAGUACUGGAGGGGUAAGCGGAAUUCCUAGUGUAGCGGUGAAAUGCGUAGAUAUUAGGAGGAACACCGGCGGCGAAGGCGGCUUACUGGACAGUAACUGACGUUGAGGCUCGAAAGCGUGGGGAGCAAACAGGAUUA
rnacentral:rRNA from 1 species